CGUACAAGCAGUGGGAGCACGCUUAGGCGUGUGACUGCGUACCUUUUGUAUAAUGGGUCAGCGACUUAUAUUCUGUAGCAAGGUUAACCGAAUAGGGGAGCCGAAGGGAAACCGAGUCUUAACUGGGCGUUAAGUUGCAGGGUAUAGACCCGAAACCCGGUGAUCUAGCCAUGGGCAGGUUGAAGGUUGGGUAACACUAACUGGAGGACCGAACCGACUAAUGUUGAAAAAUUAGCGGAUGACUUGUGGCUGGGGGUGAAAGGCCAAUCAAACCGGGAGAUAGCUGGUUCUCCCCGAAAGCUAUUUAGGUAGCGCCUCGUGAAUUCAUCUCCGGGGGUAGAGCACUGUUUCGGCAAGGGGGUCAUCCCGACUUACCAACCCGAUGCAAACUGCGAAUACCGGAGAAUGUUAUCACGGGAGACACACGGCGGGUGCUAACGUCCGUCGUGAAGAGGGAAACAACCCAGACCGCCAGCUAAGGUCCCAAAGUCAUGGUUAAGUGGGAAACGAUGUGGGAAGGCCCAGACAGCCAGGAUGUUGGCUUAGAAGCAGCCAUCAUUUAAAGAAAGCGUAAUAGCUCACUGGUCGAGUCGGCCUGCGCGGAAGAUGUAACGGGGCUAAACCAUG
rnacentral:rRNA from 1 species